CAGCACCUCAAGUGGUCAGGAUGAUUAUUGGGCCUAAAGCAUCCGUAGCCGGCUUUGUAAGUUUUCGGUUAAAUCCAUACGCUUAACGUAUGGGCUGCCGGGAAUACUGCAAAGCUAGGGAGUGGGAGAGGUAGACGGUACUCGGUAGGAAGGGGUAAAAUCCUUUGAUCUAUUGAUGACCACCUGUGGCGAAGGCGGUCUACCAGAACACGUCCGACGGUGAGGGAUGAAAGCUGGGGGAGCAAACCGGAUUAGAUACCCGAGUAGUCC
rnacentral:rRNA from 1 species